rnacentral:rRNA from 1 species
GAUGAACGCUGGCGGCGUGCCUAAUACAUGCAAGUCGAGCGAACAGACGAGGAGCUUGCCUCUCUGACGCUAGCGGCGGACGGGUGAGUACCACGUGGAUAACCUACCUAUAAGACUGGGAUAACUUCGGGAAACCGGAGCCAAUACCGGACAAUAUAUUGAACCGCAUGGUUCAUUAGUGAAAGACGGUUUUGCUGUCACUAAUAGAUGGAUCCGCGCCGCAUUAGCUAGUUGGUACGGUAACGGCUUACCAAGGCGACGAUGCGUAGCCGACCUGAGAGGAUGAUCAGCCACACUGGAACUGAGACACGGUCCAGACUCCUACGGGAGGCAGCAGUAGGGAAUCUUCGACAAUGGGCGAAAGCCUGACGGAGCCACGCCGCGUGUGUGAUGAAGGUCUUCGGAUCGUAAAGCUCUGUAAGUAGGGAGGAACAAAUGUAAGAUUAACUCUUCCUGUCUUGACGUUACCUACACAAUAAGCAACGGCUAACUACGUG